rnacentral:lncRNA from 1 species
UAUUUUUGAAAAAAAAAUUAUGAUAAUCAAAAUCAAUUUUAUUAAUCAAUAACAGAAUCUUUCUUCUCGAAAACUUUUUCCUUUAAUGUUACGAUCACCCUUUUAUAUUUGUUUUUCCAUCAAACUCAUUAUAAAGUUAGAAUUAUAAUGUUCUAAUUAAUUGUAUAAAUUUCGUCACUCGAGUCAGCACGCAGAGGGAAGCAAUGCAUUUAACAGUUUGUGAAAGGAAGAAACACCACAGUUACUAAACACUGCUCGAGAACCCUUUUUCUGCUACCUCCCGCAGAUCCAGUCAAUCAUGAACAGGUCCGUCGACCGACAAUGAAGGCACACACUCUUAAACGACGCUUGGUCUCGAAGAAAAACCAAGCGUCGCUGAAGAGUCGUCGAUUCCAUUUCACCAUCGGCUACAAAAAGCCGAAGACCACUCCAGCUUUCGAUGGAAAAGUAUUCGAAACUUUUUGUCAUCCCACGCUACUUCCUCCACUUUACUCUUAUCUUGUGAAGACAGGAGAAGAGAGGCGAAGACAGGAGAGGCGAGAAAGAGGAAUGGAGGGACUGAGAAAUGUCUUAUUUGAGAAGAUGAAGGAAGCCGAGGGAGCGCUGAAGGGCAUCAAGGAUGCAAAACUGGCCUCUAGUUUACGGGACAAGUUGGAGCAAACAAAAGGCGUGACGGAGAGCAUGCAGGGGACCUUGUCGGAGAAGCUACCUCAGCUGCUCCAAUUUUCAUCGAGGAAGGUAAAGGAAGCAGAGGGAGCAGUGAAGUCCUACGGGGAGUUGAUAUCGGAGCCCCUAAAGGAGAAGCUACCCCUUCUUUCCCAGCUAUGGGGCGAUGUUGUAGGGUUCCUCGUUGGGAAGUUGGACGGGGUUCUGCCGGCUGCGGCCAGCCCCGAGGCGUUGCGCAUCCUGGUUCAACUGGUCCUGGCAACAAUCCUGCUGCAUCUGACUCUCGUCUUCCUCGGCUACUGCCUCAAUGGAGCUUUCAACACAAUCGGCUUUGUAGCCUCCAUCGUGAUAAAGGAUUUCACCUACUGCCUCAAAGGAGCUUUCAAGAUGGUUACGUACCCCGCCUCCCUCUUCCGCCGCUGCUGCUGCUUCUUCUUUCGAGAAGCCGGCAAGACAAUGAAGGCUCCCGGGAGGAAGGGCCUGCGCAUUCCUCGGGCCACCUUCGAG